rnacentral:rRNA from 1 species
UACGAAGGGGGCUAGCGUUGUUCGGAAUCACUGGGCGUAAAGCGCGCGUAGGCGGCCAAUCAAGUCAGGGGUGAAAUGCCGGAGCUUAACUUCGGAACUGCCUUUGAAACUGAUUGGCUGGAAGAUGAGAGGGGAUAGCGGAAUUUCUGGUGUAGAGGUGAAAUUCGUAGAUAUUCGGAAGAACACCAGUGGCGAAGGCGACUUACUGGACACAUAUUGACGCUGAGGUGCGAAAGCGUGGGGAGCAAACAGG